rnacentral:rRNA from 1 species
AUUGAACGCUGGCGGCAGGCCUAACACAUGCAAGUCGAACGAGUGGCGGACGGGUGAGUAAUGUCUGGGAAACUGCCCGAUAGAGGGGGAUAACUACUGGAAACGGUAGCUAAUACCGCAUACUAUCGGAUGUACCCAGAUGGGAUUAGCUAGUAGGUGGGGUAAAGGCUCACCGAGGCGACGAUCCCUAGCUGGUCUGAGAGGAUGACCAUCCACACUGGAACUGAGACACGGGCCAUACUCCUACGGGAGGCAGCAGUGGGUAAUAUUGCAGAAUGGGCGCAAGCCUUAUGAAGCCAUGCCGCGUGUAUGAAGAAGGCCUUAGGGUUGUAAAGUACUUUCAGCGGGGAGGCGUUACCCGCAGAAGAAGCACCGGCUAACUCCGUGCCAGCCGCCGCGGUAAUAC